CCAGACUCCUACGGGAGGCAGCAGUGGGGAAUAUUGCGCAAUGGGGGUAACCCUGACGCAGCAACGCCGCGUGCAGGAAGAAGGUCUUCGGAUUGUAAACUGUUGUCGCAAGGGAAGAAGACAGUGACGGUACCUUGUGAGAAAGUCACGGCUAACUACGUGCCAGCAGCCGCGGUAAUACGUAGGUGACAAGCGUUGUCCGGAUUUACUGGGUGUAAAGGGAGCGUAGACGGUUCUGCAAGCCAGAUGUGAAAGCCCGGGGCUCAACCCCGGGACUGCAUUUGGAACUGUAAGGCUAGAGUGUCGGAGAGGCAGGCGGAAUUCCUAGUGUAGCGGUGAAAUGCGUAGAUAUUAGGAGGAACACCAGUGGCGAAGGCGGCCUGCUGGACGAUGACUGACGUUGAGGCUCGAAAGCGUGGGGAGCAAACAGGAUUAGAUACCCCGGUAUA
rnacentral:rRNA from 1 species